GGGUUUGAGCACAAUUUGGCUACAACAUACCACAUCACUGAUCUCCAGGAUUAAUCCAGCUGAUCUGGUUCUCUAGGCAGGAGAGCCCUAUCUCCCUCUUUGCUGCAAACACCUCGCUCCUCAAACUGAAAAUUCUAUUGAUAAGGAUGACCUUCUCAGAGAGAAAGUAGCUAUUUUUUGAUCAAGUAUAUAUGAGUAACUGCGCUCCGCUAUGAGGCACUCUUAAGUAGAGUCCACUGUUGAAUGUUUUUUGACCAUCAUGUUACUAUUUAGA
rnacentral:snRNA from 1 species